rnacentral:rRNA from 1 species
AUACGGAGGAUGCAAGCGUUAUCCGGAUUUAUUGGGUUUAAAGGGUGCGUAGGCGGAUGAUUAAGCGUGAGGUGAAAUGCCACUGCUCAACAGUGGAACUGCCUCGCGAACUGGUUGUCUUGAAUGCUCCUGCCGUGGGAGGAAUGUGUGGUGUAGCGGUGAAAUGCAUAGAGAUCACACAGAACACCGAUUGCGAAGGCAUCUCACGAAGGGGUGAUUGACGCUGAGGCACGAAAGCGUGGGGAUCAAACAGGAUUAGAUACCCUGGUAGUCACGCAGUAAACGAUGAUAACUAACCGCUGGGUCGUAGUGAUUCAGUGGCCAAGCGAAAGCGAUAAGUUAUCCACCUGGGGAGUACGACCGCAAGGUUGAAACUCAAAUGAAUUGACGGGG